UAUGAGACAGUGGGGUUUGAGUCGCACAAGACAUCUGUUUGAGGUGUUUGUAGACUUGUAUUGGACAAGGUACAUGAUUGGAGAUUAUGAAACAGAUGGUGUUUGUCUCACAAGAUGUAUAUU